AUGGCUGGGCACAGAGGAGGGCUGAUCCUGCCCCUGCUGCUGCUGCUGAGCCUCGCCGUGCCCGAGCUGGUGCUGGGGACCACAGCCACAAAGGCUUCGGUGACCUCAGCUCCCUCCACCUCCCUGACACCCGUGGAGACCCCGACGCUGCUGCCCACCACCGACACAGCCUCGGUGCCUCCCUCCAGCCCAGAAACGGGAGCCUCCACCCCAGAGACACCCAGCGUGCCGACGGCUGCCUCCACGAGCAGCACCCUGGCAGCCCCCAGCAGCCCCCCGUUGGAGGUGAGUGGCAGCGUGGGCUCUCCCGCCAGCACCACGCUGCACCCUAAUGCCACCAGCACCGCUGCCACCAUGUCCCCAAGCCCGACCUCCGCAGCCACGCCACCCACCCAGCCUGAGGUGACAACAGGCACAUCGCUGGGGACCAGCGUGUCCCCAGCUCCGAGCACCAGCUCGGCAGGAGCUGCACCAAGCACGCCCCCCACCCUCCCCUCCACCUCUCUCCCCUCCACCUCGGUGGUCACCACGAGCACCAGCAAAGGACCAGCGGCGACCACAGCGCUCAGCACCACCCCCCCGGGGAGCAGCAGUCCUGAUCCCAUCACACCAACCGAGCCCAACACAACCCCGCCGGACCCCACAACACCUCCAGACCCCACAACGCCUCUGGACACCGCAACCCCCUCCCGCCCCAGCACCGGGGGCCCUGGGAGCAAUUCAACCCCCAGCCAGCCCCCAGGGACCACCAACGGGACCGCGGGGACACCCCCGGACACCCCCCAGAGCCCCGCUGCUAGCACCGCAGAGACCACGGCGCUGCCGCCCACCGCCGCCUCCACCGGCACAGCCUCCAGCCCUGAAAAAGGAUCCUCCACUCCCGAGACACCCAGCACACCCCCGGGGAGCAGCCGUCCCUCUCCUCCCACCACAGCCCCACACACGGGUACAUCAGCCGAGCCCCCGACAUCCCCUCUGGACACCACAGCCCCGCACCCCACCAGCUCUGGGGUGCCCGGGAGCACCCCAAAUCCCAGCCAGACACUGGGGACCACAAACGGGACCAGCCCUGGUGCCUCCACCCUGACCACGGGGACAGCCCCGGACACCCAGGCGUCACCCCCCAGCCCCGGUGCCACCACGGGUGAGUGUGGCUGAGGGGUGAAGGGUGGGUCUUCCCCAGGUUUAGGACCCUCUGGCUAGCUAACUAACUCCACGUUGCUUUGCCCAGGCACCUCCCCUGCCACCAACUCAACCCAGAGCCCAAACAACAUCUCCAGCACCUCCACGGCCCAGCCGACGGCAGAGCCCACCUGCCCCGGCAUCAUGAGCCCAGGCGGUAAGUGCCACCUCCUGGGACCCCAAACUCUUCUCUGAAGCCUUUAUGGAAGAGCCACACGUGUCCCAUGGGCAUGGUGGUGGCCUUUUGGGGUCCUGCAGCCCCCCUGUUCUCAGCCUGGGGGCACCGGAGGUGUGCGGGGUGUGUGGUUUGCUGUGCGCACAGGGGGUGGCGCAGAGCAGGGUGGGGGGCACAGAGCAGGGUGGGGGGCACGCCUGAGCCUGCUCAGCCCUGGUUGUGGUGCUGGGGAGAGACCCCAGGUGUGGGGUGGGAGGGGAACCAGCAGAGCUGUGUCUUCUGCUCCCAGCGGAGUCCCACAUCUUCCUGUCCGUGCGCCUGGCCGGCCCCCUGGACCCUGAGAACAAAACCAUGCAGGACCUGAUCCUGUCCGAGGUGAGGUGUGCCCGCAGCCCUUCCCAAGGGGCUCUCCCCUUUGUCUGGGUGGGGACAGGGGGCAGGAGACCCCCUCUGGGACCCCCCCUCAAUGCUGUGGGGUGUCACGGCUGUCCUCUGCCCCCAGCUCCGCCACAGGCUGCAGGUCAAGUUCCCGCAGGCUGACUUCACCAUGCGGUGGAGUGGGAAGAAACCCUGAGCGCUGCCCCACGCUGCAGCCCCCCAGCCGCCCGUGGCACCGAGGAAGACGAGGAAGGAGCCCCUGCAGCCCGCUGUCAGCCCCUGUGUGCUCCGAAAUCAGCAGAUUUCAGGACCUGACCGGCUGCGGGGGCACAGCCGGUGGGUCCCACGUCACUGCUGUGCUCCCCCCCCGGCUGCGUGCGCCGUGGGGCUGUGGAAAUCCCGUGGGUUGAAAUCCUGCCCUGUUUUUUUUUCUUUUCUUUUUUUUUUUUUCCCCAGUCUCUGGUUAAGGAGACGGCCGCGGCGUCGAUCCCCCUGCAGCGAAGUCAUUUAUUAACUGAUUAAUUAGGCAGAUAAAAUCAGGCCGAAGCAGUUAUUACCCUAAGCAAGUCACCUCGUGGAGAGAUUAAAAAGUGAAAUAAUCACCCAAAUGGCUGUGUUGUUCCUGCGGGGGGAGGGAUUUUUGGCUGAGCCCUUCCUGCAGCCCCUGUCCCACCGAGGGAAGGGGCGUUUGGGGCUGCAGACACCAAACCUGGGGACUGCUCCCAGGCAGCUGAGCUGUCACCCAGCAGCCAGGAGGGACACGAAGCCACCUCGAAGCCACCCAGCUCAUAGGGUCUGGGCAAUGGGGGAGGCUCAGUGGGGUCUGGAGCCCCGAGAGCUCACCAGGGUGCUGCGAUUUGGGCAGGAUCUGUCCCCAACCCGCUGCUGGCUCCUCUCAUUUUGCUCUGUGCGAGUCGCAGGCCGGGCUGGGACAGGGAGGGGGCACAAAUGGGGACAUAAAAACACAUCCCCCUGCGGUCAUACGGUGACCCUGCUGAUGGUGACCCCAAUUCUGGGAGAGAGAGGAUGGGGACUGCCUGGCCCUGAGGCUCUGGGCUGUGUCACCUGCUGCUGGCCACCAACCUGGAGGUUCUCCUCCUCCAGGACCUGCACACGUUUCCCAAAGGGAAAAGCAGCCUGCAGGAGCACACCCCAAUUCCCCAGGGAGCUGUUUCCUGGCUUUUUGGGGGCUUUUUUUUUUUUUUGAGCCCUUAGCACAGCGCUGCUCCUGCUGCAGCGGGGUGCAGAGCAAGGGGAACCCGGGCAGAGCCUGCUGGAUGGGGUCCCCGCUCCCCACGCCUUGUAGGGCACGGGGGAAAUCAUCCUCGUGCUCUGCCCACGCCGUGGCACCGGGCCAGGAGCCCUCCCACGCCGAGUCCCACCGGGCUGAUCCUGCCGGCUGUUGAAUCCAUAACUUCAGACCCCGGGACGUGGCGCGGGGCCAAGGCCGGCAGACGGCAGCCAAAGUGCGUCACAAAGGGAGGAAAAAGGUCCCCAAGUGCUGGGAUGAAAAGGUGACCGGGGCACUUACCAUCCCCGUCCGGCACAGCUGCCUUCGUGGCAGGGGGAGGAGAUGCUCCGGGGGUGGCCGAGCCCCCCCUGCCCUCAGCCUGGGACGGAGCAGAGGGGACCUGGUUGUGAUGGGGGUGCUGUGAUCCCAAAAUGGGGACACGGAGCUGUGACAGGCUCCCAGCCCUGCCCAGCACGGCUGAAUGCUUGCUGGGCUCUGGGUGCAGCCCUCCCAGAGCCCCCGCUCGCAGCUGGGGGAAGGUGAUGGGAGCCAGCUGUGCCUGGAGCACCAGUCCUGUGGUUCCCAGUUUGAAUUUUUCCCACCUUCCACUUCCCAACAUAGACAUCUUUAGGGGUUUCUCCUCCGUGCUGUGGAGCCUCCCCACCAGGACGGGGUUUUGCCACCAUCACCUCGCUGGGAUGAGCUGAGUAGAUGAGACAGGGACGUUGCUCGCAGUGAGGGGCUCUUCCAGCCCUCAAACCAUCCCUCACCCUCCUGCUGUAACCUAUUUCCCUCCAUCAGCAUCACCCCUGG
rnacentral:lncRNA from 1 species